CAGAGAUUUAUCUUGACAAACCGUUUGGAAUUGCUGGGGGGAGUAUUAAUAAAAUUUGAACACGCGUCCUACAGCAGUGAAGAGAAUACCUGAGAAGUUUGAAAGCUUUCGUGGGAGAUUAGAGGCGGCCGUGAGGAAAUGUGCUACCCGGUGAACCUGAGAAAAUGGACAGCACUGUUGGGGGCUUGUGAGUUCCUGUCACAGUACUGAGCUUGAACAAUUUCGAUUAAAGCCCCAUGUUUGAGACUGUCAUUAGACCUGCAUUAAAUUACAUAUCUGGAGUGUUAAAAAAUAAAGAGUACAGUAGCUUUUUCUCAGCUACCUAAGGAAGAAACAAGGAAUGGACUUAGAAGGCCUCAUGUUGAUAUUUACCUGCCAAGACAUCUUAACUCUGCUGACUCUCCAGAGAGACCCAUUUGUACAUUUACAUUUAAAAACAGGCCUUCAGUAUAAUUUCCCACUAUUCCUUUCCUUCAUCUUAGUCCUCUGCUGUUCACAUGGGAGGACAGAAUCUGGGCCAGAUAUAUGUAGAAAGAGGGCUAGGAAAAACGAGAAGAGGAACUGACUCGGCCAGGAAAGGGAACAAUAUGUUGCUGCUGAUGCGGGUGAUGAUGAUACAACCCAGCAGAAGAUGAACUUCUUCCUGAAGAUGGAGAGACUACUCCUGGUCUACGAUAAGGGAAACCCUGUUUUUCGCUGGAACAUCUCUCCUAAACUUUUGUCAUCAGUGGCGGAGCUGAGAGUAGAACCUAGACCUUCUGUCACAGAAGAAUGCUGUGUAUACGGAAUCAUGGGAUCGGGGUUUUUUUAUUCAGCAUAAUUCUCUGGAGAUUUAUUCAGGCACAUUUUCCAUGGUCUGCUGAGGAGUAAUCAUACUCCAGAAAGCUUUAAAAAAAGAAGACUAAGAAAUAGAUAGAAGAGGAUUGGGGUAGAAGAGACACUUCAAGGUUUUGGCACAAGGUGGAUGCUUAACUGAUGACAGGAGAAAUGCAGAAAUUAGGAGAGCCUGGAGAUGGACAGCAAAUGUUGAUGGGCCAGUUCCUGAGUGAGAUCUUCAUUCUCAAGAGGAUUACAGCCCAUAAGCAGAGAGGCAUUAUAAUACAGUAUAUAGUAAUUGCAUCAUUAAUGAACUACAUAAGAAGGAAAACUCCAUCAAUGUGUACAAAACUGGGAAGAUAAUGUUUUUAACAAUAGGAGAAGAAUACAACAUGUAUAUGAUUAGCUAUUAUGUCAAGAUCCAAAGGCUGAAUCAAAAAAUAGGAAGUCAUCAGCUGAAAAAAAGGAGAAGAAGAAGAAGACGACAGAAAGAACCCAACCAUUUUAAUUUUCUUGCUAGAUUUUUCCUUUCCCCACACUAUUUGGUGCUUCCUCCUAUUUUAAAAGUCUCAGAGUUGAAAGGUUCCUUCCUGAUUCUUGGAUUUUACUUAGAGAAAUUCUUUACCAAACUCCCAGGCUUCCGAGACUCCCCCACAUGAAGGCAAGAUACCAUGUCUCCUAGAGAGGAAUGAAAAGGGGUUAUAUUUAGAAUUUUUUUUUUAAUGUCAAAAUUGUUAGGCAGUGAGGAAAAGGAAAAUAGGAGACAAGGAGGGAAACGAGUGUGAGGAGAGAAUACUCAGGGCACCCUGCCCUGUAGGAGGUCAAGAGGUUUCUCCAUCUUUGCUGAAUUCACCCUUGGCAGAGCUUGCCAUCCAGAGCUUAACCUGUGAGCUUGGGCUAGGUGGGCUUGUCUCGCCUGAAGCAGAAGCCAGUCCUGCUGGGCCUACUGAAACGAAUUCUUAAAAUCAUAAGGGAAAAAUUGGAUUUGAGAGAGUCUGUUUGACAAGAACCGGAGUCCUGUAAAUGAAUUUUCUUAGAUCUAUAGGCAGAGGAAGGUGGGAGGAGGAGAUAGUAUUUUCUCUCUGACCUUACCAAACCAGUAAAUACAGUUAUAGAAAAGGCUCAGAUACCUCUCACUCAUCUCUUUUAAAGUCUUAGCUGAUAACAGCUAAUAAAAUUAAGAACCACCAACCUUCAGUGCUACUUUUGAAUCGAAUGAAGAAAUAUUCUCAAUGACCAAGGGUCCUUAGAAGCCCCCAAAGAAUUUCUCUUUAAGAAUAAAGCUUCAAGGUUGUGGAGCUAUUUUCAGCCAAAAUAUUUUUCUUUUGACUGUCAAAGAACAUCACCCAAAUAGACUAACCAGCCGACAUAAUUAUCCUUAACAUCUUCCAUUAUCAUGCUCACCAGUCUUCGAGCUCUAUAGUUUUGAAGCUAUGUUGCAUGCUUUCCAAUAAUCACCUCACCGUAUCAUGUUAUCAUGCCCAUAUUGCUGAUGAAGAAACACACAGGAGAGGCAGAGGGAGAAACAGGCUCGAAGCAGGGAGACCAAUGUGGGAUUCGAUUCCAGGGCCCUGGGAUCACAACCUGAGCCAAAGGCAGAUCCCCAACCACUGAGCCAUCCAGGUGCCCCAGUUUUAGAGUUUUAAAGUAAACUUGGUCCAAAUCUCACAGUAGGAAACCAACAUUUAUUGAGAGGUGACUAUCAGCCAGGGAGGGACUGGGCCCUGAGCUUUCAAACCUCUCAGAUUGAUUUUAUUUUUCCCAUUCUACAUGAGGAGAAACUAAUGCUCUAAGUAGUUGCCCAAGGUCAUCCUGUGUUUAAUGUAAAUGCUCCAAUUAUCCUCAAUUUUAAACCAAAUACAAUCUCUCCCAAGGAAUUUGAAGUGUAGAAGACCUGUUCCCUUCCCAAUAGAUAUCUGCUGCUUUUCUUCCCUGUGAGUUCAUAUCUUGGGUAAAAACCUCUAGAGGCUCCUACCUAUCCUUUUGGUCAAAGUUAGUAAUUGAAAUCUCAUUAUUUUAACCAGAAAAUGGUCUAAAGAUGGGCAUAUAUCUGACUCACUUCUGGCCUUCAAGAUAUAAUUAGAAACCUGCCAACGAGGACAGUACUCCAGGAAUAAAAAUACAAAGCUUCAAGAGGACAAGACCUUGCCAUUCUUGCGUCUGGAAAGCAGAAGUAAAGCCUGGAGCUGCAGCAGCCAUCUUAUAAUCAUAAGGCAAUAGCCAUAGGACACAAGUCCCAAUACCAGCACACAGAAGAUGAUGGAGUGCAAAGAGAUAAAACACCUGUGUUCAUAAGGACAGUUUCAAGCUGUUGCACUGAACUUAGACUACCUAAAUCUGCUUGUAGGUUUUGUUUGCUUGUGUAUUUAUUUGCAGCUAAAGACAUUCUUAACUGAGACGCUGGGCCCAUAGUCUUGCCUGUAGCUGUGGAACAGAGCAAAGGUGGUAUCCACCAAAAAAAAAAAAAAAAUCCUAGAGUUUACUUCUAGUAAUCAGUAUUUUUCAGCUUUUUUUUUCUCAGAGUACUCUCUUGUAUAGAGUCAUAGCUGAAAAGCAAUGGUGAAAAGCCACACCACUGAUAAUACCUAACUGCCAGUGAAAUCUAAGGUAAAACAGAAAGUAAACUGCCACCAAGAGCCCUUGAUCAAGCACUACAUAUGCAGUAUGAUGAGAAAAAGAAUUAAUUACAUGCAGUACCUUUAGUUGAGCACUUACCUUACCCAAUGCCACACUUAGCAUUUUAUAUUCACUAUCUAAUUUAAAUAUCGCUCUAGGUGACAGUUAUAUCAAAAAUAUUUUAAAAGCAAGGAAAUAAAAACUUUAAAAGAAUAGUUGGGCCAACCACAGACAUAUAGCUGGAAAGUGGCCCAGCCAGGGUUCCAAUCCAGGUCUUUUAUUACCAUAAAAGGUACAGAUUUUGUCACACUACCUGAAAGCAGAGUACCCCGAUGAAUCCUUUGGUAGGCUAAAAUGGCAUAAAGCAAAGAGAUAAUUACCAUUGACUUAUAUGGAAAACUUUCCGAGCAUUCCCAGAUCCCCAAAAUAACCUCUCUCAGACUUUUCUGAUACCCUAGGAUGCGUCUUGCUAAUGGAUGCACAAAGUAAACUGAGAUAUAGCACAAAUGUGCACAGACACAGUGCAAAGCCACAGGGGCUUGGUGGCUUGAUGCGGGUGAUGCUGAGUGUGGGGUAGGGGUGGGGCAGAAGCUGGGAUUGGGAGGGGCCACUCUUGCCCCUGGAGGGCCCCUCUGCUGCCAUAAUGACUCACUGCAGAACAAAUGCUCAUGCUAUUUCCAACUUUUUGCCCUUUUGCACUGAGGCAAAACUCCUUUUUGGAUUCCUUUUGGUUAGCAAACAGGGGAAGUACUAAGGUAGGACUUUCAUUAAAGUGAAGUGGAAUAACUCAAACUUUGCAAAAAGUGGCAAAUACCCUUAUUUGGUGUUUUUAAAACAAUCGAGUGGAAUGACUGCCCAGCCUGGGGUAGAGUGUUUCACUUCUUUGCUGAUGAGCUGAAUGAACUGUGAACACCUUUGCAAACCAAGUCCAUCACUUGGUUGUUCCACUGAGGUGCCAUUUCCAUGUAAACUGUGUGCAUUGCCACAUUUGAAUCCUAUGGAUCAGUUUUCCUUUUGGUGUCUCUUUCUCCUUAGGACUAGCAUAAUUCACAUCAACUCAGAGAGCCUUUUAGACUCUGCUCCGGGGACAUAAUACUGACCUACAGACAUUCCAUGUCUUCAAGUUGUUUUUAGUCUGCCGGCAGGAAAAAAACAUGUACAUGGGUAGAGUGCCUGGCCCACUGGGAAUGAUCAAUAGAUGGUGCCCAAAUAAGCAAAUACCUGGAAUAAAUGAAUAAAUGUCAAA